rnacentral:rRNA from 1 species
AAAAGUACUUUGAAGAGAGAGUUCAAGAGGACGUGAAACCGGUAGGAUGGAAACGGAUAGAGCCAACGAACAAGCCCGUAUUCAGCUAGUCGGCUGCGUGCGGCAUGCCUGUGUGCUCGUUCAGGGUGCAUGGGUGUGUGCGGUAUGCGGUCGGCUAGUGCAUUUGCGGGUGAUGUGCGCUGAGGCGUGUGGCGGAGUCCUGCAAACUGUCUGGAGAGGCCUCGCCUUCGGGCUUGAAACCUACAGGCGGGGAGUCGGGUUUCUGCUGCAUGUAGACGAAGCGGCUAGGUGCAAACGCGCUGUCGUGCUGCCGGGCUAGCUGCUUGGCCGGUCGCAUGCGACUAGGUCUUGUUGGUUGGUCUUGGUGGUACGGCAGUGCCCUGGUCGACCCUCGGUGUAAAAGUUGGUCAUCUCUCCGACCCGUCUUGAAACACGGACCAAGGAGUCUAGCGUAUGCGCGAGUCAUUGGGUGGAAAACCCAUAGGCGAAAUGAAAGUGAAGGUCUCUUCAUGAGGCUGAUAUGCGAUCCGUUGCACUACGGUGUACGCGGAGCAGCAUAGCCCCGUCUCGACUGCUUGCAGUGGGGCGGAGGUAGAGCGUAUACGCUGGUACCCGAAAGAUGGUGAACUAUGCCUGAGCAGGAUGAAGCCAGAGGAAACUCUGGUGGAGGUCCGAAGCGCUUCUGACGUGCAAAUCGAUCGUCUGACUUGGGUAUAGGGGGCGAAAGACUAAUCGAACCAUC